rnacentral:misc_RNA from 1 species
GUCCAACUUCGCCUUGCGUUGUCCCUUUCCGGGGGCGACGCGGGGUGAACCACGAAGCAAUCUUUGCGUCCCACUCCGCCCACAUUAGGUUGUGGUCGUGGAUUGGUCCGCAGGGCAUUCGCUUGAGCUCUCGGAUGCGGUGCAUUAUACGCGGGCACGAGGACUCACGUCCUCUAUUUGCCCGAAAUAAAGCUUUUUCUUUUAGUUGCGAACGAUUGCGAUCCCCGUUUCGAGCCCCCGGGCGAGUGCGGCGUUCACCUCGUGAGGAAUGUUA